UGAAAGGUCAGCGGCGGACGGGUGAGUAACACGUGGGCAACCUGCCUGUAAGACUGGGAUAACUUCGGGAAACCGGAGCUAAUACCGGAUAAUAUAAGGAACCUCCUGGUUCUUUAUUGAAAGAUGGUUUCGGCUAUCACUUACAGAUGGGCCCGCGGCGCAUUAGCUAGUUGGUGAGGUAACGGCUCACCAAGGCGACGAUGCGUAGCCGACCUGAGAGGGUGAUCGGCCACACUGGGACUGAGACACGGCCCAGACUCCUACGGGAGGCAGCAGUAGGGAAUCUUCCACAAUGGACGAAAGUCUGAUGGAGCAACGCCGCGUGAGCGAUGAAGGCCUUCGGGUCGUAAAGCUCUGUUGUUAGGGAAGAACAAGUGCGAGAGUAACUGCUCGCACCUUGACGGUACCUAACCAGAAAGCCACGGCUAACUACGUGCCAGCAGCCGCGGUAAUACGUAGGUGGCAAGCGUUGUCCGGAAUUAUUGGGCGUAAAGCGCGCGCAGGUGGUCCUUUAAGUCUGAUGUGAAAGCCCACGGCUCAACCGUGGAGGGUCAUUGGAAA
rnacentral:rRNA from 1 species